UCACAAAGUGUUGGGAUUACAGAUGUGAGCCACCGCACCUGGCUUGGUUUGGAGUUUUUUUUAAAAGGUCAUAAAAUGUUGAAAGUUAGUAGUUGGGGUAAGUGUUAUAUUUUUGAAGAGCUGGUAACUGCCUUUAUUAUGUGACUUGAGAGAUUGUAGGGAGAUUUCCCUGCUUGGAAUUCUGCCCUUAGAGAUUUGUAGGGGACCCUUUUCAAAUGUAAGCACUGUGUUCAGGAAGGGUCUAUGUCAGAUGAGGUCAUGAGAUCGAUCCUUGGCAAGACCCCAGCAGGAAAGUAUGGGGAUCCCCAAAACAGCACAGCAGAAACCCAGGGGUCUCAAGAGAGAAGAGCUGGUGAGCUGGUGGGGGGAGUGUGUCCCCUUCAUGAUCUAGUUCCACCCUGACCUGGUUAGAAGGCUGCCUUCUUGUUCAAAGGAUAGUUUGUUUAUUUGGAAGAAGAUGGUUUAUUGCCUUUUUUUAAUAGCUGAAACUUUUAAUUCCAUCUCCUUGGUCCCAUUAGACCCUUGAAAUAAAAUUGCGCCCUUUCAGAAGGGUCUGUCCUCAUUUUGGCAAAGCCUGGGUGGUCAGUUGUUUGACUCAAAAGAGGGUGUUGUUUGUGUCUCAGCGGGAUACAGGCAGCUGUGAGGAGCCCACUGUCCCCUCCUCACAGGCCACCCCUCCCAUCGGAGACCUCUCCCUACACACCGCAGGCACAGGGUCUUGGGUGCUGGCCUGAAAUGGGUCUGCUGAUUUACCACAUCGUUCCAGAUCUCAGUGCUCCAAAGCCCCUUGCUUUAUCCAGUUGCCAAAAAUCGGACAGUUCUGCUCCUGGCCCUGAGCCUUACAGAGCUGCUUAGCAUACAGCUGGGAGCAGCCAGUGCCUGCCUCUGCGCCUGCUCUGGGGGUGAAAUAAUACCAUCUUGUGAGGCAGGGUGGUUUGGAAGAAAAUGGAAAGAGUAAAGGAAUCCUGGGAUUUGCAGGAACCCCAAGGAGGAUGAGGACACUCAUUUUACAGAUGAGGGAGGGCAUCUUAUUCCUGCUGAAGCCUCUUCCUUUUCUAAUCUCAGAGCUUCCAUGAAAGUGGAUUUCUUGUGCUGUCAUUUUCACCCGGCUGGUAACACACGUCAAGUUCUCAAAAAUGUCAAAUUGGGCUCCUGCCCUAACCAUUAUUGCCACUUCACUAGGCCAUUCUCCAUUUGAAGAAUAGGAAGAGAAGGGAGAAAAUUUUCCCAGAGGAAACACUGCCUCUGUGAUACUAUUUAUUCGGCUUGGCUGUAAAGUGUGGAAAGUAAUGCAUGUUUAAAAGAAAAGAUGCGUAAUUUACAGCUUCUUAAUUCAUAAAGAAUUUGGUGAAUCAUGUUGGCCCUGUUGGAUUCUGGAGAAGUCUGAAAAUUGGCCAGAGUCAGCAAAGGUUUUUAGAAAGCUAUGCAUUUUAAUCUACUUGAAAGUUUUGGACUCAGAGCGUCCUUUAACUUUGAAAGUAUACAUAUGAAACACUGGUGUAUGGAAAUUUCCACUCUGUCUCGACCAGCUGAGACUGUCCUGUGAAUGAAAGAAACCUCAGGCAUUGCCUCUAUUCCUAAAGCAUCAUUUUUCGUAAAUAAAUAAAAUGAAGAAGGGCUUUGGAUUAUCUGCUUUUUAAGUGUUUCAGUAAAUAUCUAUGUUUUCCAAAUCUGGGAAGGUAAGAAAGUUAGUCUCUUGGCUUUCAACUAGUUCAGAUUUAGCUUCCAAUUGCAGGCUGAGCUAGGGCCUCAUGAUAAGAUGUAUUUAUAUUCCCUUCUCAGGGAAUAUAAGAGAAGCCUUAGCUGGGUGACUUGGCCUGGGAGUUAGCCUCUCAAACCUUGCUUGUCCCUUCUGUACAAUGGGACCAUAUCACCUAGUUUGCCUGCUUUACAGGGUUGUUGGAGAGUCAAUUGAGCGUUCCACACAGAAGUGCUUUGGAAGCUAAAACUCUCCAGAACACAUUUCAGUAUUGAUACUCCUACCCCCUUGGCUCUGUUACUGGCUCCACAUGACCUAAAGGAGCCAUUUUUUCCUACAGACCUGGAGCUCCUCUGCUCAGGGAGUCCACAGGAGCUGCUGCUGUCCUGGGGCUCAGGACAUACUGGGUCCUGAAUCCUCAGGUCUACUUCUGCUGUGGUCUCAAAUUGCCUCACUAGACUCCUUCCCCUGGGAACUCGUUUCUAAGGAAACUGCUUCUCUUUGUGUUCCCAACAGCUGGAGAUGUGUUUUGAUCCCAGCCCACUGGCAUACAUUUGUCCUGUGUUUAUUUACUUGGAAACCUAAGCUCCUGUAGGCCCUGGGUUGGAAAGUCGUAUACACGCACACUCUCCCCCUCCAAGGGGUAACGAGAAAGGCACGCCAGAGCCGAAUGCUCUGCCAGGCUGAUGCAAGCCAUCCAGGAGCAUGGAGGACCAGGAAGCCCCUGCUUCAGAGAUAUGCUGUGAAAUACAUUUGUCCUGGGGAAAUGUGAACUCCUGUGUCCUCCUAAAGAAGGAGUCACAGGAGUUUUUAGGACCAAAGGCCACUUCUGGGGGUGAGCAAGACCCGAGAGUAUCCCUGGGGAUUCAGGCAAACAGAAAACAAGAUGCGUGAAGUAGGGGGCAAGGGAGGAGAGGAGGAACCAACAAAGGGAUUUUGGAGCUAGAAUAGAAUGCAACCCUCUGCUACCUGUGCUACCACCAAACAGCAGCAGCCAUGUGUGUGGCAUGUAGCAGGUUAGCAUGCUUUGCCUCAUGGUGAGGCAUCCGCCCUCACAGCCUCCCCUGGUGUAGCUAUGAGCACUCCACAGUCCCCUCUUAUGGACCAGGAUGGCGAUCCCAGAGAGGUUGAGGGGUGGUUAAGAUCAAAUCAGCAACAAGGGGGAGUUGCAUGAGGCUACCUUAGUUACAAGGGGCUUACGAUUCACUCAGCUCACCUCUGGUAACAAGAGCCAGCGGGCAGGAGAACUGUGGGAGUGAAGACAAAAGGAUGGCAGGCCAGUGAAGACCAGGAAACGCCAGGAAAAGCCAGGCCCCAUGGGAAGCGUGUAACCCACAGCACAGCCAAGUCACAUGGAAACUAGAAGUUGUUGAGACUUAGAGCCACAUCCAGCACCCAAGUAUCAGUGGCCAGGCUGCACCAGUGUUCUCAGUUCUCUUCAGCCAUCUUCAGAGACACCAACCUUGGAUUGAGCCCUUCUCAUGCUUCACUCCUCUCCUUCUUCCAUCUCAUUUCUCUAGCCUAGCUGGAAAGGGCUCCACUUUUAAGGACUUAUGUCAUUAGAUUGAGCUCACCCACCCAGAUAAUCCUCCAUAGUCUCCCCUCUCAAGGUCUGUAACCUUACUCACAUUCACAAAGUUCCUUUUGCCAUACGACGUAACAUAGUCACAGGUCCCAGGGAUUAAGAAAUGGACAACUUUGGGGUCCGUCAUUUUUGCCUACUACAAUGUAACCAAGGACGACUUACUCAGCAUGGGGCAGAGAGGACUAUGGAGAGGAUGUGGGUGUGACAGGCAUUCUGACACUUGGCUAUUCCACUUACAGGUGCUUGCCACUGUGCAUUCUACUGUGCAGUGGCACCAAAACAUGGCUGUCCUGUCCCUGAUCUGCAAAACCAAGUGGCCAGUCAAACAUUUUGUUCUUCUUCUUCUGCUAGUGACUCAUCCAUCCAUCAUUCAUUCAUUCACUCAAUAAACAUUGACUUAGUACUUUCGGUAUAGUAGGAACUAGAAAUCAAAUGCUGAGCUAAAAUAGACACCAUCAGUCCUCACAGAGCUCACAGACUGCAAGGGAGACAGGCGUUCAUCCUAAAACCACACAAAUGUGUGUGAAGUCACAGCUGCAUCACAUCCUACAAUGGGCGGGUGGGGACAUGGCGCUGUCCAGGCAUUGAAUGGGGUAGUUGGCAAGUCUGGAAGUCAGAGAAGUGUUGAUUGCACCAGAUCUAAAGGGAAAGAGGAGAAGGAAGAACACUCAGGCAUAGAGAACAGGACAUACAAAGCCCUGCAGCAGGAGGGAGCACAGCGAGCAGGAAGGAGAACCAGGGAAGCUGAAGCAGGGUGGGCUGAGGGAGGAAGGAAAGAGCUGAAUCCAGUGAUGUGGGGAGGCAGGGAGUGGGCCCUGGGGAGCCUCCCAGACCCUGUUAAAGAUCCCUGGGAGGCACUAAAGGACUUAAAGCAAAAGAGGCAUGUUUACAGGGCAUCCUGGACCUGGACAUUUUGCAGUGGAGGAAUCACUUUGGCAACAACAUAGAGAGUGGAGAAGGUCUUCAACUAGAUGUGGAUAGACCAGCUAAUCAGAGGCUACUGCACUGAUCCAAGUGCAAGAUAAACCAAGGAGCAAGUAUUUAUGGGACAUCAACCAUGUGCAAGGAGCAGUUACAGUUGGGGUCAGGGGCAGCGAUGAGGGAGCAAUUACAAAGACGUGGAAGACUCAUUGCUGUGCUUUCAAUUGCUUGCUGCCUGGUUAGCAACAGAAGACUCAAACUUGAAAGGCUUAACACCAACAAGGAGAGAGAUACUAAUAGCUCAGUGCAGCCAUACAGGACUUGUCAUUGGCUGGGAUGUGUUAAAUUAGCAAUCUGAAAAAUGUGGGGAGGAACGAAACCAGCAAGAGUGGGGUUGGGAGCAGCUUCCCAGAAGAGCAGAGGAGGGGAGAGGAGAGGUGGGUGCUGUCUUUUGGGGUAGAAGCAGAUGUGGCAGAAGUCAGGCUCUGGGGACAGCAGGAGGAGACAGUUACAAGUGAGGUGACACGUUAGAAAGUGUGUAAAAGCCUGAGAGCAAGAGGCUCACUCUAUGGUGAACCACCUAUUUGGCAGGAGCAGAGGGCUUAGGGAGGCGAGGAGCUUGGGGACGGCAAAGUGUUUCUCCAGAUGUCCCCGUUGUGGGGAAAGCAAAGCUUCUCUGAUGGCUGCCAAGGCAGGUUUGCCCGACCUGCUGUCUCCAUGCAAGGUCCCAUCAGGCGCACCCAAUGCAAGAGCACAGCCAGGUGCAUCCGCCGGCCACCUGUCAGCUGAGCUCAUCUGCUGUGAGCCCCGCCCUCACUGUGAGUCAGAGGAGCUGCUGCAGCUGUGUCCCACAGCUGGUGCCCAGCACUGCGCCCCUGCUGGGGGUGGCUAACGUUUACUAAGGCGGUGGUUCUCAGCCUCGGCCACUCGUGGAGUCACCUAAGGGCUUUAAAAGUUACUAACGCCUGGGUCCCACACCAGAAAAUUCUGGUUUAAUUGAUCUAGGGUGCAGCCUGGGCUUUGGGUUUAAAAAAAAAAAAAAGCUUCGGGAAUGAUGCCAACGUGUAGCUGAGGUUCAGAACUAUUGAGGAAUUAACAACACAUCCGUUCCUGACUGCCUUAGCAGGAGCUGUUUACAUUGCGAGAAGCACCCCCGAAUGCCUUAUGGAAGCUUACCUUCUUAUCCUCUGCCCAUUUGGAAAAACCUGUAUCUGCCCUCCCUUUAGGCAUUUUUAUUUGUUAGGCUUUUAAUUGGCAUAUGCAAAUAAAUGUCAUUAAAAAGG